CAUUAUUAAUGGAUCGUUUAAUGGAUUCUUCGCGCAUAAAAAAACCUGCACGUUGGCAGGUUUUUUUAUUAU
rnacentral:sRNA from 1 species